rnacentral:rRNA from 1 species
GUUUUUCCCUUUGGACCGGCCGGGUAGUCUGGGGAAGCUGGCCAAAGUAGGGGUGCGGUGCUUGAAGGAGGGGUGGGGGUGGUUCGUUGGUCUCGGUGGUGGCGCGGGCGUACGGGUGGCCGGCGGCCUCUUUGGCGGAGGAGAGGGCGCGAGGGCCCGUGGCCUCGGCGGCGGAGCGACCGUGCCAACGCCGGUGCCCCACGAGGUUAGGGUGGGCGCGCCAGUGGCCGGUGCCGGGGUCAGCGGCCUAGGACGACGACGUCAGUCCCGGGAGAGGUGGCCGAGGACGGCGACGUCGACUGGAGAGGAAGCACGAAGAAGAAGUUGACGGCGUUGGUUGGGGUGCAGGUUGGCGGCGACGCUGUAACUACCCUCCAGCCUCUAUAGAUGACAUCACCACCUCUGUCCCCCACCCCCUCCCGCCUCGUGCCAAGGUGCUGUCUCCAGGCAGUGCCACUGUGCCUUCUUCCGACCGCCGUCCUAGGCAGUGCCGCCUCCAGGUAGUACACAGCGAGACAAACAAGAACCGCCGCCGCUCCGAGGGGAACGGUGGUGUGUCGGAGGAGGGUCACUCCGGGGUGGCGGCGUCGUCAGUUGUGCAAGUGGGGACGGUGGAGGCCGGCAAGUUGAUGUGUCGGGGCUCUGCAAGCAGUGGAGUCGGUGGGCCAAGGGUGAUGACGUCGCGGGUCUGCUCCGGGUACAGGAAGGUCCGAGUAUGAAAACUAAAGUCAGACAGGUAGCAAUACGUGGGUUAAAUAAGUAUCUCUACCAGUGACUACGAACGGUACAAUACGAUGACGUCCAAUCCGUUCCGUUUUUACACGACUUUGUGUGAGUGUGUCCAUAAACCAAGACCUUUAACCAGACUCAAACCGUUCUGACGACGAAGUAGAAACGUCGGUAGGUACAUACUAUUGAUGUCUUUAGGAGUAGGAGGACCCUACAUCUAUGGGGGUGGUUUGGGAGUCGGACCAGGGAUACUGUUAGGUAACAUACCACGAUCGAGACCGGACUAAUUUUGACCCAAUCCUCAUAUACCCCUCUUCAAGGGGCCGAGGUCAAGUCUUAAGUACGUGUCGUUAUAGUCAUCUAUGAAGAGGUUGGGUAUCAUGAUGAAGGUACACUUACUAGUCAUACAGUCCUUGUUCAACUUUCAGUAUAACAAAGGCAAGGAAGUGUGCCCCGUGACCUGAGCCUAUUCAAUCGAACACCCACCGGCCGACAGGAUGUUUGGAGGCUACAUGCUGUAUUUACGCGGUCUAGACAUGUAGGGAAAGUACCGCAAACCAUGGAAGUAAUAAUAACGUCCAAAGUGUGACCCGAAGUACCCUUUAAAGUGAGGUCUUCGGUAUUUGGAAGUCAAGUGUUCUCCUGACUAGUCUACCCCGGAUGUUUAGUAGCGGAUCUUCUGCCGGAACUUAAACCGUAUAUGACGACGAAGCAAGUUAUGAGGUAUGAGUAGUUCAUUAACAAAAAAGUAACUCUCCGAGUACUUCAUUAACAACAAGAGUGUCUAGUGUGGAUUAACCGUGGAGCCACUAGAGUCCCAGGUUCAAGUUGUUCAUAAAGUGAAGUCCUUCUAAACCAUAUAUAUUUAAAAUGUGCCGAAACAACACCUACCUAGUAAACAGAUAGUCUAAACCUUAACUAUGAAACGAGUACGUAUAUACACUUACUUGGAAGAGAUAUAGUUUUUGUCAUAACACAACAAAUAGUAUACCAUACAUGGAUUUUUUAAGAAAACCUG